CAGGACUCGCAAGACUCCUACAACCCUGUGAACCUACUAUACGAACGUUGCUUCGGCGGGUGCGCCCCGGGGAUUCGUUCCCGCGGCGCGUCAGCCCGCCGGCAGCCUACAAAUUCUGUUUCUUUGCGUUGGCAUCUCGAGAAAAACAAAAUAAGUU
rnacentral:misc_RNA from 1 species